CCAUGAUGAUGAUGAUGAUGAUGAUGAUGAUGAUGAUGAUCACCAUCAUCAUCAUCAUCAUCAUCAUCCUCCUCC
rnacentral:pre_miRNA from 1 species